AUUGAACGCUGGCGGCAUGCCUUACACAUGCAAGUCGAACGGCAGCAUGAUCUAGCUUGCUAGAUUGAUGGCGAGUGGCGAACGGGUGAGUAAUACAUCGGAACGUGCCCUGUAGUGGGGGAUAACUAGUCGAAAGAUUAGCUAAUACCGCAUACGACCUGAGGGUGAAAGUGGGGGACCGCAAGGCCUCAUGCUAUAGGAGCGGCCGAUGUCUGAUUAGCUAGUUGGUGAGGUAAAGGCUCACCAAGGCGACGAUCAGUAGCUGGUCUGAGAGGACGAUCAGCCACACUGGGACUGAGACACGGCCCAGACUCCUACGGGAGGCAGCAGUGGGGAAUUUUGGACAAUGGGCGAAAGCCUGAUCCAGCAAUGCCGCGUGUGUGAAGAAGGCCUUCGGAUUGUAAAGCACUUUUGUCCGGAAAGAAAUGGCUCUGGUUAAUACCUGGGGUCGAUGACGGUACCGGAAGAAUAAGGACCGGCUAACUACGUG
rnacentral:rRNA from 1 species